AUCCUCAUUGCCAACUUCACCAGGCUGCAACCCACUCAAAUCCAGCUUUGGAUGAAUAUGACGGAGGGCCGCUUUACAGUCUUUAAAGCCGACUCGGUGAGCAAUGGCCGACCCCUCAGCAACUUCAUCUUCAAACUCUUAAGAUGCUCAAAAUUCGGCCAAUGCCCGAGAACCUACCUCCUGAACCCAAGUUUCUACCGCCAAUGUUUGC
rnacentral:lncRNA from 1 species